CACAAAUGAUGAGACUAUUGACGGGCGGGCAGAGAACUCUGUGCUGAUUGUCAAGUCUCUGAUUG
rnacentral:snoRNA from 1 species